rnacentral:rRNA from 1 species
UACGUAGGUGGCAAGCGUUGUCCGGAAUUAUUGGGCGUAAAGCGCGCGCAGGCGGUCCUUUAAGUCUGAUGUGAAAGCCCACGGCUCAACCGUGGAGGGUCAUUGGAAACUGGGGGACUUGAGUGCAGGAGAGAAGAGUGGAAUUCCACGUGUAGCGGUGAAAUGCGUAGAGAUGUGGAGGAACACCAGUGGCGAAGGCGGGUCUCUGGGCCGAAAUUGACGCUGAGGAGCGAAAGCGUGGGGAGCAAACAGG